rnacentral:misc_RNA from 1 species
CGCACAUUGCGCCCUUUGGUAUUCCAAAGGGCAUGCCUGUCUGAGCGUCAGUUUACCUUCACCAGCACGCUUUGCGGCAACGCAGAGUGUGCACGGGUGUGUUGAGCAGUGGGAGCGGUCGUUCCCUCGCUCGAAAGAUAUGCAACAAGUGGUGUAAUAGGUUUUGCCUCGCCGCUUUGUCUUUUUUGCAAUGUGGUAGUGUGGCCGGCUGCGAGUUAGCUCUCGCGCGCCGCCCACACUCGCAUUCAUUUUCUGUUUUGACCUCAGAUCAGGUAGGGUUACCCGCUGAACUUAA